rnacentral:rRNA from 1 species
CCUACGGGCGGCAGCAGUGAGGAAUAUUGGUCAAUGGGCGAGAGCCUGAACCAGCCAAGUCGCGUGAGGGAAGACGGCCCUAUGGAUUGUAAACUUCUUUUGCAGGGGAGUAAAAGACGGUAUGUGUACCGUAUUGUGUGUACCAUGAGAAUAAGGAUCGGCUAACUCCGUGCCAGCAGCCGCGGUAAUACGGAGGAUCCGAGCGUUAUCCGGAUUUAUUGGGUUUAAAGGGCGCGUAGGCGGACGGUUAAGUCAGUGGUGAAAGUUUGCGGGUUAACCGGAAAAUUGCAGUUGAAACUGGCAGGCUAGAGUGCAGGAGAGGUAGGCGGAAUUCGUGGUGUAGCGGUGAAAUGCGUAGAUAUCACGAAGAACUCCGAUUGCGAAGGCAGCUUACUGGACUGCAACUGACACUGAGGCUCGAAAGCGUGGGUAUCAAACAGGAUUAGAUACCCGUGUAGUC